AAGCAGGCUGGACCAAGUGUCUGCCUCUUUUCAUGUCCAUUGCUGCUGCUGCUGGAGUCGGUUCCACAUGGCACACAAGUGUGAAAUUGACCUGCCCGUCCUUAUUUCGUGUCCUGCAGGACGGAGGAGCAGGCGGUGAUGGAAUUGGAGGGGACUUCAUCACGGUGCUUACACCUAUCACAUCCCCUCACAUCAUCAAAUGAAAAAUGAAUGGGUGCACUUAAAAAACUGUGCUGUGAUGGUGGUGAGCGGUACGGAUCUGUAUUAAGCUGGAAAAAGGAAGAAGCAGAUCAUUAACUGGUGGGCUGCCUGCCAUUGCUGCAUUACUGGCUCUUCAAUCUCAAGGUGUGGUCACAAGCCAAGGUCAAAGGGUCUCUGGUGUCCCCUCCGAGCGUGUGAAUGAUGGACCCCUCCCGCCCGGGCCUGGAUUAGGUGGAGGGCACAGAGUUGAUACGCUGCAGCUUUUUCAUCUCACGGCAGGGUGAAAGGUAAGGCUCUGAGUAAGAUUUAAGAUGAUGAAUUCAGCAGUCUGUGCGGAUAAGGUUUGAC